UACGUAGGGUGCGAGCGUUAAUCGGAAUUACUGGGCGUAGAGCGUGCGCAGGCGGUUCGUUGUGUCGGCGGUGAAAGCCCCGGGCUUAACCUGGGAAUGGCCGUCGAAACUGGCGAACUGGAGUGUGGCAGAGGGGGGUGGAAUUCCGCGUGUAGCAGUGAAAUGCGUAGAGAUGCGGAGGAACACCGAUGGCGAAGGCAGCCCCCUGGGCUGACACUGACGCUCAGGCACGAAAGCGUGGGGAGCAAACAGG
rnacentral:rRNA from 1 species